UGUCGCCCGUCAUCCAUCCACUAGGAUGAG
rnacentral:sRNA from 1 species